rnacentral:rRNA from 1 species
GGUUGCGAUCAUACCAGCACUAAUGCACUGGAUCUCAUCAGAACUCCAUAGUAAAGCGUGCGUGGGCAAGUGUAGUACUAGGAUGGAUGACCCCCUGGGAAUUCCCCGUGCUACAACUCU